rnacentral:SRP_RNA from 1 species
GCCAGGCAUAGUGGCGUGUGCUUGUAGUCCCAGCUACUGAGGAGGCUGAGGUGGGAGAAUUGCUUGAACCCAGGAGGCAGAGAUUGCAGUGAGCCGAGAUCAUGCCACUGCACUCCAGCCUGGGCAACAAAGCAAGAACCCCUCUCAA